rnacentral:rRNA from 1 species
UACAGAGGUCCCGAGCGUUGUUCGGAUUCACUGGGCGUAAAGGGUGCGUAGGUGGCGAAGUAAGUCGGAUGUGAAAGCUCGGAGCUCAACUCCGAAAUGGCAUUGGAAACUACUUGGCUAGAGGUUUGGAGGGGGGACUGGAAUGCUUGGUGUAGCAGUGAAAUGCGUAGAUAUCAAGCGGAACACCAGUGGCGAAGGCGAGUCCCUGGACAACACCUGACACUGAGGCACGAAAGCUAGGGGAGCAAAC